rnacentral:rRNA from 10 species
UGAAUGUGCCUGAUCAUGUCUGAUCUCAGAAGCUAAGCA